GCUCACCCGUUACCCUAGCAACCACCCGAAACGCAGCGCUUCCGGCAGGGGCAGCGAGGGGCGGGGUGGGAGCAGCCGGCCGCGGCGGCAGCUGCCCGAGGCGUUCCCGGGGCGCUCGAAGCCGCAUCGCGGGGCCCUUCUCCGUCGGCUCCGUCCCGCUGCCCUUCCCGGCCGCUCUCCCCCCUCGCCGCAGCCGGCGGUCCCGGAUUGCGGCCGUGCACGCUCAUUGGCUGGCGCGCCCGUCCUCCCCUCGUCUGAUAGGCUCGGCGUCCCGUCAGUCCGGCGCUCCGCCGUUGCCGGGGUGAGGGCGCGGGCGAUGGCCGCCGUGGAGCUGUUCUCCCACCCCGCGCUCCACACGCGCUACCGGGCCGGGCUCUGCUCCGCCGCCGCCCUGGCCCUGUUGCUCAUCACGGUGCUCACCUACGUGCCGCCGCUCCUAGUGGCCUACCGGAGCCACGGUUUCUGGCUGAAGCAGAGCUCGUACCGGGAGCAGCCCACCGUGCGGUUCCGGUACGAGGUGCUCUUCGUGGCCACCACCGGCCCCAGCCCGGGCAGCUUCUUGGCGUGGAGCACGUUCCCGGCGUUCAACCGGCUUCAGGAGGACCGGCUGCGAGUCCCGCUCCUGUCGGCUAGAGAAGAAGACAAAAAUCAAGAUGGCAAAAUGGAUCAGUUGCAUUUUAAAUUGGAACUUCCGCUACAACCUACAGAGCAUGUAGUUGGUGUUCAUCUGAUUCUACUCUUUUCCUACCAGCUUUAUAGAAUGUCAACACUUGUGAUGCAGAGCAUGGCUUUUCUUCAGUUUUUUUCUCCUGUGCCAGGGUCUCAGCUCUACAUGAAUGGAGACCUGAAAUUGAACCAGCGGCAGUUACUUAACCAUUGUGGACUGGAUACCAGAUACAACGUGUCUGUGGUCAAUGGCACAAGUCCUUUUGCGAGUGACUAUGACCUAAUGAACAUCAUUGCAGCAUAUCGGGAAAGAAAUGUGACAACCGUCUUUUCAGAUCCCAACCCUGUUUGGAUGACUGGAAGAGUGAUAGAUACACCAUUUAUCAUUAACGCCACUAUUCGUUACCCAGUGGAAGUUAUCUUAUAUCCUUUGAAAACUGCAUAAACUGUGACAUAACUGGGUUGCAUUAUUUGGGUCUUCACAUACAAGCCAAGUGAAAACUUUUUUCUUCUAGACUUGCUGCUAGGAUUUUCCUUUGUUAGCUAAGCAAAUGCUGUAGUUCUAUUUGCCCCUUCCUCCAGAUAGUUCUGCUUGCAUAACCACUUUUUGCGUUUCUCUACUGGGACCCUGUGGUGCUUUUCAGCCUUGCUUAACUGGCCUUUGAGGCAGUUUCUUUGCCAUUCACAGUGAAUAUCCUUAGUCUUGCUUUGCUCCUGCAGCACCUGCUGUCCCAAUCUGUCAUGGAUGCCACUAAGCAAAGCAUGAUACUAUAUUCUGUGACCUAAAGCAAAUCAUUAGAAAUCUGUAUGCAAGGUAAGCUCACCAAAUAAUAACCCCUCAGUGGAUGUGGCAGAUAUGUUGCAUGCACAGACAGAUGUGAUUUUUUUUCCCCACAAAAUAAUUCUUUGUUCAUUAUGUUCUUUAUUCAUUUUAUCAGACAAGAACAAGCCUGUGUUUAAAAGAACCUGUAUGGAGCACAUUUCUUACAAGAAUCAGGUGUUGACUACAACUCCAGUAUCACCAGUUCUGCCAGUGUCUCCAGUAUUGUCCUACAAACUGCACCAGUCCUGAGGAGAUGCCUAAGAACACUUUAAAGACAUGCAGUUCAAAAACAGUUACUUGCUUUUAUUCUCUAUACAGUUUUUUACUUUGGAAGAUCAGAACUUUGUAAGUAUGUUCCAAGUAUAUUCUGUUCAUGCUUCCUUUUUAAAAUACAUUUUCAUUCAUCGAUUUCUCUGGGAACACUGCUUUGGGACUGAAAAUUUUGAUAUUUUUGACAGUUAAAGAAGAACCUAGUUAUUUUUUUGGACUGGAACACGCUUCAAAAACCAGUAGAAAGCAAUGAGACUGCUUUUGCAUGAUCUUAAUUUUCCUAAACCUUGAAGACUGAAAAUAAUACAUUAACAGUAACAACAUAAGCCGUUUUUACUGUCUUGUAAAUUAAUUCACUGCUAAGUUAGAGUUCUGUCAAGAGCUAUUUGUACAUGCAUUUACAUGCACCAUGAAAGGAAAAAACAUAAGAAAUGUGAAAAAAUGUAUGGAUGAGUUGGUGUCAGAGCCACACUUCUGUAACUGUGGCUAUAUGUGGUCACUGGUUUAAUUAUUAAAUGGGAUGGUGGAUAAAUUCAAGGUUGAUGUGAGAAACUGGGUUGUGGGUGAUAGUGUCUGCAAGGUUUGCACAAUCAUUUACUAUUGGCAUUAUUCCUGUAGCACUAGACCAUUAAUUGUGAAUUUGGAAUGGUAAAACAGAGACGCCUGGUAUUUAUUUAAAGGAAAAUAAUAAAAAAAACCCUACCAGAGAAGCUUCAGAGUUCCAAAGCAAUUAAAUAAUUACUUUCAGAAGUUAAAUGAUAACCUAGAACAGAUAAAAAUGAAAUCAAUUACAAUCACCUGGUGAGUACUGAAAGAUUUUGUCCCUUAUUCUUGAUGGGGGUGGUAGGGAAGAUUAUUUAAUUCUAUUUUCUCUUUCUGUGCUUACUUUUUACAUCAGACAAGCUUAAAAGGAAAAACAACAAGAUUUCCAUUAUGUUUUCAGUUUUGUAGUUAAGAUUUAAUUCUAGCAAAGCAGUCUUAUGGCAGGAGAGAGUCUAAAACAAUUCUAGAUGCUAGUUAACAACAUUCUGAGUGUCUUUGGUUCUCUUGAACUCCUAAGACAUGGUGCAGCUAUGAAAUGUGAAAGAGCAACUUGUACAGCAGUACCCCAUCUUUAGGCUGUUGUCCUCUAGAAUUCAACAUCCCGGCAGCUUGAAGACCUGCCUAUUGCUUUUUCUGUUCUCCUCUCAAAACAGACAGCUUCUUUUUGAACUUCUCUUAUGGCUUAUUUUAAACUUUGUAGACUUGCAGCUUGCAUUUCUCCCGACUUUUACAUGCUGGACGGACUCCAGCCUAUUCUUCAAUGCAUGUGAAACAUUAAUGUGGGGAGCCACAUCUUGGUUAUUCAGCACACUUUUGCGUUUGUGAAACUUAUGUACUUACAUGUGAAUUGUAAAUUAUUGCAAAGAGCAUUUGCUGUACAUACAUAUAUGUAUUUUGGUUUGAAAUCUCCAGUUUGCUUUUUGAUCUUUGCAGUCUGUACCUGGCAGCCUAGGACUACUGAUAAUUGGCUUCGUACCGGAGUGCACAGAGUCAAAGCAUCCGCCUACUGCUUUUUAGUGUUUCUAGGCACUACACAGGAUGAACAAAGGGGCCUGUGCGCUUGUCUCCCCAACAUCUCAAGUUGAUGUACAUCUGGUCUGCUGUAGUCCCAGCUCUUCUCCCUUGCAGUGGCGAUGGUGCUUGUGUGACUGCAGGAGUUAAUUCAGGGAGUUCGUUAUGGUGAAGAAGAUAAUCGUUAACAAAUAUACUCACUUUUUCACACUAGUCAGUUCCCUGAAUGAACUUGGUAUGUGUCUGCAUGAGUGGGCAUAAGCAAGGGACAGAAAUCUCCUGAGAGACCAUAGAAACUCCAUUUUAAGGGUUUGAGCUGUUGUAGUCCCACAAAAAUGGAAUGUGUAACAGUCCUUCAAACUGAACAGAAGCCUUUUAAAGGUAGCAACUGGAACAUGAGAGAAGAUAAUGCCAGAAAACAACAAUAAUACCGGCAGACUCCAUUAGCCAUAUUUCACUUUUCUUUCCUAUUGUAUCCUUCCACAUUAAAUGAUGACAAAUGA